GACGAACGCUGGCGGCGUGCUUAACACAUGCAAGUCGAACGGAAAGGCCCUGCUUUUGUUGGGUGCUCGAGUGGCGAACGGGUGAGUAACACGUGAGUAACCUGCCCUUGACUUUGGGAUAACUUCAGGAAACUGGGGCUAAUACCGGAUAGGAGCUCCUGCUGCACGGUGGGGGUUGGAAAGUUUCGGCGGUUGGGGAUGGACUCGCGGCUUAUCAGCUUGUUGGUGGGGUAGUGGCUUACCAAGGCUUUGACGGGUAGCCGGCCUGAGAGGGUGAACGGCCACAAUGGGACUGAGAUACGGCCCAGACUCCUACGGGAGGCAGCAGUGGGAAAUAUUGCACAAUGGGCGGAAGCCUGAUGCAGCAACGCCGCGUGCGGGAUGACGGCCUUCGGGUUGUAAACCGCUUUCGCCUGUGACGAAGCGUGAGUGACGGUAAUGGGUAAAGAAGCACCGGCUAACUACGUG
rnacentral:rRNA from 1 species